rnacentral:rRNA from 1 species
GACGAACGCUGGCGGCGUGCUUAACACAUGCUAGUCGAACGGAAAGGCCCUGCUUGCAGGGUACUCGAGUGGCGAACGGGUGAGUAACACGUGGGUGAUCUGCCCUGCACUUCGGGAUAAGCUUGGGAAACUGGGUCUAAUACCGGAUAGGACCGCACUUUAGUGUGUGUGGUGGAAAGUUUUUUCGGUGUAGGAUGAGCUCGCGGCCUAUCAGCUUGUUGGUGGGGUAAUGGCCUACCAAGGCGGCGACGGGUAGCCGGCCUGAGAGGGUGUACGGCCACAUUGGGACUGAGAUACGGCCCAGACUCCUACGGGAGGCAGCAGUGGGGAAUAUUGCACAAUGGGCGCAAGCCUGAUGCAGCGACGCCGCGUGGGGGAUGAAGGCCUUCGGGUUGUAAACUCCUUUCGCUAGGGACGAAGCUUUUUGUGACGGUACCUAGAUAAGAAGCACCGGCUAACUACGUG